rnacentral:rRNA from 1 species
UCUAGUGGCGAUAGCGAAGAGGUCACACCCGUUCCCAUGCCGAACACGGAAGUUAAGCUCUUCAGCGCCGAUGGUAGUUGGGGGCUCUCCCCCUGUGAGAGUAGGACGCUGCUGGGC